AGAGAGAGACAUGCGCGCAUAUCAAUAAGCGGAGGAAAAGAAACUAACUAGGAUUCCCUCAGUAACGGCGAGUGAAGCGGGAAGAGCUCAAAUUUGAAAUCUUCAAGGUUCUACCUUGACGAAUUGUAGUUUAAAGAAGUGUUUUCUGUUGGAGUUUUGGUAAAAGUUCUUUGGAAUAGGACAUCAUAGAGGGUGAGAAUCCCGUAUUUGACCAUUACUUUCAACUUUGUGAUACACUUUCAAAGAGUCGGAUUGUUUGGGAAUGCAGUUCAAAAUGGGUGGUAAAUUUCAUCUAAAGCUAAAUAUUGGCGAGAGACCGAUAGCGAACAAGUACCGUGAGGGAAAGAUGAAAAGAACUUUGAAAAGAGAGUUAAACAGUACGUGAAAUUGUCAAAAGGGAAGCGUUUGACACCAGUGUUGUUUUUCUGAAAAUCAAUUAAAGAACUGUUUAUGCUAAGUUGUUUAGACUUUAUCAGCUAACUGUUUAGUUUUGAGCUUUUCUUUAAUGCACUUUUCAGUUAACAAGUCAACAUCAAUUUCUUUUGCUGUAAAAAAGCUUGAGGAAGGUGGCUUGAGAUUCGUCUUAAGUGUUUAUAGCCUCUUGCCUAUGCAGUCGGAGAGAUUGAGGUCUGCAGCGUAGAUCCUUCGGGGCUAAAUGCAUUUGUGCUAAGUUAUAGCAUUUUAUAGACAACUUGUUGACUAUGAUUUGUCUUGUAGCUUACUCGCUUAUGUUAUUUUACCUACGCUUAGGAUGUUGAGCGCAUGUCUCUCUCU
rnacentral:rRNA from 1 species